GGCAACAUGGCCGAGCGGUCUAAGGCGCUAGAUCCAGGUUCUAGUCAGAAAUGGCGUGGGUUCGAAUCCCACUGUUGUCA